GGAAGGCCUGGAGCUGCCAGAAGAU
rnacentral:piRNA from 1 species